rnacentral:rRNA from 1 species
UACGAAGGGUGCAAACGUUGCUCGGAAUUAUUGGGCGUAAAGCGCACGUAGGCGGCUAUCUAAGUCGGAUGUGAAAUCCCUCGGCUUAACCAAGGAAGUGCACCCGAAACUGGAUAGCUUGAGUACAGAAGAGGAUCGCGGAAUUCCCGGUGUAGAGGUGAAAUUCGUAGAUAUCGGGAGGAACACCAGUGGCGAAGGCGGGUCUCUGGGCCGAUACUGACGCUGAGGAGCGAAAGCGUGGGGAGCGAACAGG